GGUUGUAAAGCACUUUAAGCGAGGAGGAGGCUACUUUAGUUAAUACCUAGAGAUAGUGGACGUUACUCGCAGAAUAAGCACCGGCUAACUCUGUGCCAGCAGCCGCGGUAAUACAGAGGGUGCAAGCGUUAAUCGGAUUUACUGGGCGUAAAGCGCGCGUAGGCGGCUAAUUAAGUCAAAUGUGAAAUCCCCGAGCUUAACUUGGGAAUUGCAUUCGAUACUGGUUAGCUAGAGUGUGGGAGAGGAUGGUAGAAUUCCAGGUGUAGCGGUGAAAUGCGUAGAGAUCUGGAGGAAUACCGAUGGCGAAGGCAGCCAUCUGGCCUAACACUGACGCUGAGGUGCGAAAGCAUGGGGAGCAAACAGGAUUAGAUACCCUGGUAGUCCAUGCCGUAAACGAUGUCUACUAGCCGUUGGGGCCUUUGAGGCUUUAGUGGCGCAGCUAACGCGAUAAGUAGACCGCCUGGGGAGUACGGUCGCAAGACUAAAACUCAAAUGAAUUGACGGGGGCCCGCACAAGCGGUGGAGCAUGUGGUUUAAUUCGAUGCAACGCGAAGAACCUUACCUGGCCUUGACAUAGUAAGAACUUUCCAGAGAUGGAUUGGUGCCUUCGGGAACUUACAUACAGGUGCUGCAUGGCUGUCGUCAGCUCGUGUCGUGAGAUGUUGGGUUAAGUCCCGCAACGAGCGCAACCCUUUUCCUUAUUUGCCAGCGAGUAAUGUCGGGAACUUUAAGGAUACUGCCAGUGACAAACUGGAGGAAGGCGGGGACGACGUCAAGUCAUCAUGGCCCUUACGGCCAGGGCUACACACGUGCUACAAUGGUCGGUACAAAGGGUUGCUACCUAGCGAUAGGAUGCUAAUCUCAAAAAGCCGAUCGUAGUCCGGAUUGGAGUCUGCAACUCGACUCCAUGAAGUCGGAAUCGCUAGUAAUCGCGGAUCAGAAU
rnacentral:rRNA from 1 species